rnacentral:rRNA from 1 species
GCUUAACACAUGCAAGUCGAACGGUAACAGAGAGUAGCUUGCUACUUUGCUGACGAGUGGCGGACGGGUGAGUAAUGUCUGGGGAUCUGCCUGAUGGAGGGGGAUAACUACUGGAAACGGUAGCUAAUACCGCAUAAUGUCGCAAGACCAAAGCGGGGGACUUUCGGGCCUCGCACCAUCAGAUGAACCCAGAUGGGAUUAGCUAGUAGGUAGGGUAAUGGCUUACCUAGGCGACGAUCCCUAGCUGGUCUGAGAGGAUGACCAGCCACACUGGAACUGAGACACGGUCCAGACUCCUACGGGAGGCAGCAGUGGGGAAUAUUGCACAAUGGGCGCAAGCCUGAUGCAGCCAUGCCGCGUGUAUGAAGAAGGCCUUCGGGUUGUAAAGUACUUUCAGUCAGGAGGAAGGGUGUGAAAUUAAUACUUUCAUGCAUUGACGUUACUGACAGAAGAAGCACCGGCUAACUCCGUGCCAGCAGCCGCGGUAAUACGGAGGGUGCAAGCGUUAAUCGGAAUUACUGGGCGUAAAGCGCACGCAGGCGGUUUGUUAAGUCAGAUGUGAAAUCCCCGGGCUCAACCUGGGAACUGCAUUUGAAACUGGCAAGCUUGAGUCUUGUAGAGGGGGGUAGAAUUCCAGGUGUAGCGGUGAAAUGCGUAGAGAUCUGGAGGAAUACCGGUGGCGAAGGCGGCCCCCUGGACAAAGACUGACGCUCAGGUGCGAAAGCGUGGGAGCAGACAGGAUUAGAUACCCUGGUAGUCCACGCCGUAAACGAUGUCGACUUGGAGGCUGUUCCCUUGAGGAGUGGCUUCCGGAGCUAACGCGUUAAGUCGACCGCCUGGGGAGUACGGCCGCAAGGUUAAAACUCAAAUGAAUUGACGGGGGCCCGCACAAGCGGUGGAGCAUGUGGUUUAAUUCGAUGCAACGCGAAGAACCUUACCUACUCUUGACAUCCAGGGAAUUUAGCAGAGAUGCUUUAGUGCCUUCGGGAACUCUGAGACAGGUGCUGCAUGGCUGUCGUCAGCUCGUGUUGUGAAAUGUUGGGUUAAGUCCCGCAACGAGCGCAACCCUUAUCCUUUGUUGCCAGCACGUAAUGGUGGGAACUCAAAGGAGACUGCCGGUGAUAAACCGGAGGAAGGUGGGGAUGACGUCAAGUCAUCAUGGCCCUUUCGAGUAGGGCUACACACGUGCUACAAUGG